rnacentral:rRNA from 1 species
UACGGAGGGUGCAAGCGUUGUCCGGAAUCACUGGGCGUAAAGGGCGCGUAGGCGGCUCGGUAAGUAGGGGGUGAAUCCUGCGGCUUAACCGCAGGGCUGCCUUCUAAACUGUCGAGCUUGAGCACGGUAGAGGCAGAUGGAAUUCCCGGUGUAGCGGUGGAAUGCGUAGAGAUCGGGAAGAACAUCAGUGGCGAAGGCGGU